rnacentral:rRNA from 1 species
AAUGCUUUAUGCGUCAAAAGGAUUCGUCUGCCCAAGGAUGGGUCUGCGGCCUAUCAGGUAGUAGUGGGUGUAAUGUACCUACUAGCCAGCGACGGGUACGGGUUGUGAGAGCAAGAGCCCGGAGAUGGAUUCUGAGACAUGAAUCCAGGCCCAACGGGGCGCAGCAGGCGCGAAAACUUUACAAUGCGGGAAACCGUGAUAAGGGGACACCGAGUGCCAGCAUCAUAUGCUGGCUGUCCGGAUGUGUAAAAUACAUCCGUUAGCAAGGGCCGGGCAAGACCGGUGCCAGCCGCCGCGGUAACACCGGCGGCCCGAGUGGUGAUCGUGAUUAUUGGGUCUAAAGGGUCCGUAGCCGGUUUGGUCAGUCCUCCGGGAAAUCUGAUAGCUCAACUAUUAGGCUUUCGGGGGAUACUGCCAGACUUGGAACCGGGAGAGGUAAGAGGUACUACAGGGGUAGGAGUGAAAUCUUGUAACCCCUGUGGGACCACCUGUGGCGAAGGCGUCUUACCAGAACGGGUUCGACGGUGAGGGACGAAAGCUGGGGGCACGAACCGGAUUAGAUACCCGGGUAGUCCCAGCCGUAAACGAUGCUCGCUANGUGUCAGGCAUGGCGCGACCGUGUCUGGUGCCGCANGGAAGCCGUGAAGCGAGCCACCUGGGAAGUACGGCCGCAAGGCUGAAACUUAAAGGAAUUGGCNGGGGAACACAACAACGGGGUUGGAACCUGCNGUUUAAUUGGACUCAACGCCCGGACAACUCAACGGGGGG